UAACGUGUGGGCGACCUGCCCUAUACUGGGGAAUAAUCACUGGAAACGGUGACUAAUACCGCAUGUCAUUACGGAAGGGCAUCCUUCUGUAAGAAAAGGAGUAAUUCGGUAUAGGAUGGGCCCGCAUCUGAUUAGCUAGUUGGUGAGAUAACAGCCCACCAAGGCGACAAUCAGUAGCCGACCUGAGAGGGUGAUCGGCCACAUUGGGACUGAGACACGGCCCAA
rnacentral:rRNA from 1 species